AGAUGGAUCAAACUGAGGUUCUGCACUUGCUUGAGUCACCAGAAGCUCUCAAAGCAAAGGUUAAUGAAGCAAUGGAGGUUCUAAGGACUGUUCAGCAGCAGGCCACUGGCACAGCUGAUCAACUAGCUUCUUUGUCAUUGAAUGACAACCUUGUGCCCUAGGUUGAGCUUGGGCAUAGUUUUUGAAAUGCCAGACAAGAAACCAUUCUAUCUACGGCUUUGAUUUAUACUUUGACUGCCUGGUAGCUUAGGCACCGGUUUUGUUUAUUUUGAGAUUCUUUCAGAAGUUACAUUGAUGAUGGAGACGGUAUUGCUUGAACUUUUGUUAUGCGAGUGACAAAUUUCUGGUGCUUUA
rnacentral:lncRNA from 1 species